CUCCCGCCAUCCAGAAGCCGCCACCUGAGCGAGAAACUCUACACGAGUCUCUCUCUCUCCGUUGGAUGCUUGUAUAUAUUUGCGGGUUUUCUUGCUCCUUCGGUUCGAGUGGAGAAAGGUUCGGAUGGAGAACGGUUGCGCGCUUUCAACCCCACCCCCAAAACGAUCGUCUCUGAAAACCCAAUCGCAUUUCAAUACUUACCCUCUUUGGAAAGACAAGUUGAGGGAGAACUGUUACAAAAGGGUGCGCGAGGACAGGAAUCGCUUGCUUUGGAAAAUGAGGUUGCCCACUGCUAAAUCUCUCGGUGACAAGGAUUUUAUCAAAUCUGCUUUCCAAAACAUAGUUUCCGAUGAACUGAAAAAACUUAAACACUCAUCAUCAGAUGACAUUUUGGAAAUCUCAACUUCUAGACUUGAUGCAAGUGAUAUUUUGUGGGAAUAUGAUGGUCUUCACAAUGCUUAUCAAGGUGAAUGUGAGGAGAUAUUGUUGGAGAUGCAAAGGAUCUUCUAUGAGGAUCUGAGGGCAGAACCAACAAGAAAAGAACCUGAAAACCAUAUUGAGGCCUGGGAGGAUGAAGAAGAUGAGUACUUGGCUCGUGCUGUUUAUGAGCACAUGCACUUGAAUGAUAAGCAGGUUCAAAAGGAGACUUGGUGUCCCAUCUGUAAGCAAGGACGGUUGCAAGAGAACCAUCAACUUAUAUAUUGCAGUAUUUGUGAACUUGAACUCUGCAAAGACGAUGAGGUACUGCCAUUGCCUCUUGUUUUUAUACAAUUUGUUUCUUAUUUAUUCUUGCAUUUAAAUCAUUCAUCAUGAAGGCGGAAUACAAUGUAUGUGGAGUAUUUGCAAAAUUAAAAUUUUGCUAGUGCAAAGACCCAAUUAGACUAAGUUCUCAAUUGUUGCCACUUGCCAAAGAUAAGUUACUAGCAUACUUAUUGAAUUUUAAAUUAUCUGGUUAUGGAUCAUUUUUUAUUCAUUUGCCUUGUCAGCCUCAAUGAAUUUUUCUUCUUCUUGGUACCAUUCUCAACCCCAUUCCUUUCCCAUGUUUUUCCCAGUUUUUUUGAAAUUAUAGUGGUUUUUUUU
rnacentral:misc_RNA from 1 species